UACCAAAUCGUUCCAAGUAAUAUAAUUGCUAAAAACCCAAUAUUGUUCUUCCCAAGAGACUCGAAAGGCCUUAUCGUUCGUGUGAAUUAAAAUCGUAAGACUUGUAAAGAAAAAUUAAUUGGUGAGAAUGCAAAGACACAAAAUAAACAUGCAAAUGUGUUUGAUUCAAUUGACGAGAAGAAAACUAUGGAUGAAUGGAGUUGUUGGGGGUUUACAAUUUCAUCUUAUCCGCUCUCUCUUAUUUACUCCUCUUGUUUAAAUUGCUUGACUAUCUAAUUGUUAUGCAACUUUCUUGGCCUACCCUUAACCUGAUCCCUUGGCGAAAAGAGCCUAUUACUAAUUAGUGGCUUGUUAUCCCUAGCCUCCCCUAGCAAUUAAUUAUGCAUUAUAGAACAGAAGCGGAAACAAUUAAUCGUCCUGCCCCUAUCCCUAGGUGGUAUUGCUUAAUCACAGAAUCACUCACUAGUUCAUGACAUUACUGUACGUCCCUGUAUCAAUAAAGACAGAUAACAGUUAUCGAAUGAGUUAAACGAUAAAAGCUUUAAGCACAGAUGAGAACCCAACAAUUAAUAAUCAACGCAUAUGAAAAUCAUAUAAUUAAACAAGAGUUUCAAUAAAAGAGAGUAUCAAAAGAUUACAUUGUUUCCCCCAACAAAAAUAGGGUUUAGUUCACCAUUGUCAUGGUGAAACUAGAUGAAAAAUGGAUGAAGAAUGGAAAAGCAAACCCUACAUAAGAAGAAAUGGAGCCUAAGCAUCCAAGAGAUCCUCUCCAGAGAGUGAAAGUAGGUCUGG
rnacentral:lncRNA from 1 species